rnacentral:rRNA from 1 species
CCUACGGGAGGCAGCAGUGAGGAAUAUUGGUCAAUGGGCGCGAGCCUGAACCAGCCAAGUAGCGUGAAGGAUGACUGUCCUACGGGUUGUAAACUUCUUUUAUAAAGGAAUAAAGUGAGGCACGUGUGCCUUAUUGUAUGUACUUUAUGAAUAAGCAUCGGCUAACUCCGUGCCAGCAGCCGCGGUAAUACGGAGGAUCCGAGCGUUAUCCGGAUUUAUUUGGUUUAAAGGGAGCGUAGGUGGGUUGUUAAGUCAGUUGGGAAAGUUUGCGGCUCAACCGUAAAAUUGCAAUUGAUACUGGCAGUCUUGAGUACAGUUGAGGUAGGCGGAAUUCGUGGUGUAGCGGUGAAAUGCUUAGAUAUCACGAAGAACCCCGAUUGCGAAGGCAGCUUACUAAACUGUGACUGACAUUGAUGCUCGAAAGUGUGGGUAUCAAACAGGAUUAGAUACCCGAGUAGUC